rnacentral:rRNA from 1 species
AGCGAACGCUGGCGGCAGGCCUAACACAUGCAAGUCGAACGAACUCUUCGGAGUUAGUGGCGGACGGGUGAGUAACACGUGGGAACGUGCCCUUUGGUACGGAAUAACUCAGGGAAACUUGAGCUAAUACCGUAUGUGCCCUUCGGGGGAAAGAUUUAUCGCCAUUGGAGCGGCCCGCGUCUGAUUAGCUAGUUGGUGAGGUAAAGGCUCACCAAGGCUACGAUCAGUAGCUGGUCUGAGAGGAUGAUCAGCCACAUUGGGACUGAGACACGGACCAAACUCCUACGGGAGGCAGCAGUGGGGAAUCUUGCGCAAUGGGGGAAAGCCUGACGCAGCCAUGCGGCGUGAAUGAUGAAGGUCUUAGGAUUGUAAAAUUCUUUCACCGGGGACGAUAAUGACGGUACCCGGAGAAGAAGCCCCGGCUAACUUCGUG